rnacentral:rRNA from 1 species
CCGACGGUGAGGGGCGAAACCCUGGGGCGCAAACCGGAUUAGAUACCCGGGUAGUCCAGGGCGUAAACGCUGCAGGCUUGGUGUUGGGGGCCCUACGUGGGCGCUCAGUGCCGGAGUGAAGAUGUUAAGCCUGCCGCUUGGGGAGUAUGUCCGCAAGGAUGAAACUUAAAGGAAUUGGCGGGAGAGCACAGCAACGGGAGGAGUGUGCGGUUCAAUUGGAUUCAACGCCGUAAAACUCACCGGGAGC